AACGAACGCUGGCGGCAUGCUUAACACAUGCGAGUCGAGCGGUCAUCUUCGAAUUUCCGCGGCAGGCGGUGUUGUAAAAGGGGGAAACAUACCCUUGGUUUCUGAACAGCACUGGGAAACUGCAAUUAGAACCGAUAACGCCCUUAGGGGAAAAGGUUUACUGCCGAAGGAUCGGCCCACUUCGGGUUAGCGAGUUGGUGGGGUACCGGCCUAACAAGGCGACGAUCAUUAGCUGGGCUGAGAGGAUGAUCCGCCACACUGGGAGUGAGACAAGGACCAGACUUCCACCGGUGGAAGCAGUGGGGAAUAUUGGACAAUGGGCGAAAGACUGAGCUAGUCAUGCCGUGUGAGUGAUGAAGGACUUAGGGUUGUAAAGCUCUUUUGUCCGGGACGAUAAUGACGGUACCGUAAGAAUAAGCCACGGCUAACUUCGUG
rnacentral:rRNA from 1 species